rnacentral:rRNA from 1 species
GAUGAACGCUAGCGGCAGGCCUAAUACAUGCAAGUCGUACGGCAACACAGUUGCGAGCAAUCGCAACCGGUGGCGAGUGGCGCACGGGUGAGUAACGCGUAUGUAACCUACCCUUCUCCGGGACAUAACUCCGCGAAAGCGGUGCUAAUAUCCCAUACCAACUCAUCAAGACAUCUUCUUGAGUUGAAAGCAGCAAUGCGGUGAAGGAUGGGCAUGCGUCCCAUUAGCUGGUUGGUGAGGUAAUGGCCCACCAAGGCUACGAUGGGGUAGGGGUUCUGAGAGGAAACGCCCCCCACACUGGUACUGAGACACGGACCAGACUCCUACGGGAGGCAGCAGUAAGGAAUAUUGGGCAAUGGUCGAAAGACUGACCCAGCCAUGCCGCGUGCAGGAUGAAGGCCCUAGUGGGUUAGUAAACUGUCUUUUUAGGACCCGGGUAAAUAAAACCGUACCCGUUUUAAGUAAACCGGGGCCCGAAAGGGUACCGGCUGAAUAAGCAUCGGCUAACUCCGUGCCAGCACGG